AAACAGGGAACUCGCUGUAAGCAGGAGGGCAUAAAGGGGAACGAUGGCUGAGGGGGGCAGGGAAACCAGGAAAAGCACCAGCAGCUUAUGAUGUUCAAAGUCUGUCAGAAGGCUCCCUUCUGAAAGUCUUCUCCAUGGACCAAAGGAGGCCCAUCUCUGCUACUCCAGAAUCUGCUUAGGACCAUGAAGUUGCAACACCAUGUCUUCCCAUCCAACUGAAGUUCCUGCUUUCAUUGCCAACUUUUUAUCUCGUGACAGUGCCUCUCCAGCUACACAGAAAAGCCUGUUUUCUACCCCGAAGUCCAGAGUGGGUUACCAGCCAAUAGCUGCCACAACCGCAUACCCAUGAGUAAAGAUUCUUUUGGGCAGUA